UGGACAGAUUAUUGUAUUCGACUGUAUUCACGGCGUGAAACAGGGGGUUAUACUGUUUUUAAACGGAAAGUGAAUCAAUUAACAUAAUAGACUCCU
rfam:Nicotiana attenuata strain TT chromosome 1, whole genome shotgun sequence.